AUAAACACCCCAAAAUUGGAAACUAGUACUACAUUGCAAAAAAGUACAUCAGCGUGAAUUCAUUUUCUUCUCCAUCUCCUAAGUAUCAAAACAGAGCAAAAUCGAAACCCUAAUUCAGAUCGUCACUCGCCUCCGCCGCCCCUUCUCCUCGGGCGUCGACGCGUUCUUCGUCGUCGACGCCUUCUCAUCGCUGCCCUCCGUUGCUCUACGCCAAAGCCCCCAAUUCUGUCUCCGACGCCUUCCUUUAUUUCUCCUACCUCUUCAAGUCUCUCUCCCUCCUCCUUCCCCAUUUCUCCUCCCUGCGCCGGAUGCAGGGGAUUGAAGUGGGACGGCGGCGGCGACAAACCGUGCCUCCUUGUAGACCUUCGAAAGAUGGCACUGCUCAACGGCCGCGCUGUGCUGCACUUCUGCCUCCGUUGCAGCUGCCCUAUCUCGAAGCUGGAAGGUUAGGGCCCUAAGCGCGGUCUCCGCCACAAGAAAAACCAAACACCAGCUGCACGCGAAGAAAGUCGCUCAGUCGCUAGAUCUGGAAAAAUUUGAUGGAAUCGUUUGCGUUAGUGGAGAUGGAAUUCUAGUUGAGGCGUAUCAAGUGGAACUGGAGUUAAUGGUGGUGAGACUAGAGAAAGAAAAUGAGCAGCUGUUAAAACAGAAGAAGGGCGAGCAUUAAUGUGGAAGAAAGCUAGAGUGAAAAGAGAUAAGACCGUUGAGAAUGAAUACUUAAAGAAAGCAAGGUGGGAAGGAAGACAAAGAAAACAAAGGUUGAAGUGUUGAGAAUGAAGACUUGUAGCUUUUUGUAUGGAUGUUGGAGAUGUUGUAAAAUAGUGGGUCUUUUGUGGAUGUUGGAUGAUUGAUUAUUAUCAAUGAUUAAAUGACAUAUUCAAUA